rnacentral:misc_RNA from 1 species
GAUGAAGAACGUAGCGAAAUGCGAUACGUAAUGUGAAUUGCAGAAUUCAGUGAAUCAUCGAAUCUUUGAACGCAUAUUGCGCUCUUUGGUAUUCCGAAGAGCAUGCUUGUUUGAGUAUCAGUAAACACCUCAACCUCUUCUUGAUUUUUCAAAAGGAGGGUGGACUUGAGCUAUCCCAACAACCUUUACCGGUCGGCGGGCGGCUUGAAAUGCAGGUGCAGCUGGACUUUUAUCUGAGCUAAAAGCAUAUCUAUUUAGUCCUCGUCAAACAGGAUUAUUACUUUUGCUGCAGCUAACAUAAAGGAUAAUUAUCCUCUUUGAUGACUGAUGCAGGAUUUUACGACACUUUAUGUGUUGUUCAACUCGAUCUCAAAUCAAGUAAGACUACCCGCUGAACUUAAGCAUAUCAAUAAGCGGAGGA